UUAGAUACCCUAUUAUUAUGAACGUAAAUAUUAUUCCAGAUUAGUAUUAGUUAUUUUCUUGAAAAUUAAAGAAUUUGGCGGUAUUUUAGUCUAUUCAGAGGAACCUGUCCCAUAAUUGAUAAUCCACGAUAAAUUAAACUUUUUCUUUUAGUUUGUAUAUCGUCGUAGUUUGAAUAUUUUUUGAGAAUUUAAAUGUUCAUGAUUUUUCUUGAAAUUAAAUCAGAUCAAGGUGUAGCUUAUGGAGAAGAGAGUGAUGGGUUACAUUAUUAUAGUUUUUAAGGAUUAUUUUUUGGAAUUAAAUAUGAAUUUGGAUUUGAAAGUAAUUUUAAUUAUUUAAUUAAAAUGAUUAAGCUCUAACAUAUGUACACCUGGCCC
rnacentral:rRNA from 1 species